GCGGAUGUAGCCAAGUG
rnacentral:tRNA from 4 species